UUGCAUGUUUAUAAUAUAACAGUAGCUCACGUAUAGGAGUGAUCUAAGUUCAGUUGUGACGGUAAGGUGGGGUAAGUGUCCAAAGUUCAUAAAAUUGUUUGAUUUAGUAGGUUUCGUCAUACUUUAUUCGCUCUGUUGAGGUCUUUUGUUGACUAUGCUGUUUGUAGUUUUGGAUUUACAUCAAUGACAGUAAUAGGGGAGAUGAAAAAAAAAUGAAAAUAUUCUAUAUGGCAUACUGUGAUAAUAGAAUUGCUAAUGCUGGGUUGUGAUUCUUUGCAGCUACACGGAAUCCGAUCCUGUGAAAAUUGUUGUUGAGGGAGUUGAUACGUUUAAGAAAGAAAACUGUGAUCUUAUUAUUGUUGACACCAGUGGUCGCCAUAAACAAGAAGCUACUCUCUUUUAAGAAAUGCGUCAAGUUGCUGAAGCAACUGUAUGUUCUGUUGUCUUGGAGGCAUUGUUUUUCCUUAGUUGAUGUGGCAGGCUCUGAACAUGGUUUAAGGAGCUUGAGGAAUCUCUGGAAAUUUUGAGACAGAGCAUGAAGAUGCAGCAUGCGCAGAACAGAGAAGAGGUGUUUUAAUCUCGAAAAUACACACUAUGUAUUGAAUUCCUACUGACAGAUGCAUGUUAAAAGAGACGCAAAGGAACAUAAUUUCCAGAGGCUCCAACAGCAGGAGCAUGCUAAAGUUGUUGAUAUAAGCAAGAGGGCUUAGGAGUUCUCUAGCUUCAUAAAGUUUCAAGAGAAAGAGAUGAAAACGUUUAUGGAGGAGAGGGAGAAGAAGAUGGCAGAGAUGAACAAGAGAUAUUUCGAGAAGAUGCUUGAUCUAGAGAGGGAAUAUGAUGUCUUUGGAGCUGUUCAUGAUCAAGAACGGCUUAACGAUGCAGAUGACGCAGACUACUAGCUUUCAUUGGUUAUAAGUAGAACAACAGUAGCCGAAAAGCAGAGGGAUACAACUUCAUAUCGACAGGUCGAGACAUUGGAGCAGAAGCUAAUGAAAAUGAGAAAAGAGAAUGAGAUCCUUAAACGGCAACUGUCUUCUUCAUAGAAGAGCCAGAAACACCUACUGCUCGGUAAAACAAAAACUUGAUAGUAAAACAAGAAACACAGCUGCCUGGUUUAAGUUUUUAAUUUUCAAUAUAAAUUUAUAUCUUUUAAUGCUAUGUGAAUUUUUAUUCCAUAGUUUAUUUUCUAUUGGUUGAGUUGUGAUUUGGUAGAUAGUUAAUGUGCUUUAUUUUCUAAAUCUUAAAAAAUAAUUCUUUUUAAA